rnacentral:rRNA from 1 species
UUGGAGGGCAAGUCUGGUGCCAGCACCCGCGGUAAUUCCAGCUCCAAUAGCGUAUAUUAAAGUUGUUGCAGUUAAAAAGCUCGUAGUUGAAUUUCGGGAUCAAUUUAUCGGUCGUGCCUCUGGUAUGCACUGGUAUUAUUGAUUUCUACCUUCUGACGAACCAUGAUGUCAUUAAUUUGGUGUCAUGGGGAAUCAGGACUGUUACUUUGAAAAAAUUAGAGUGUUUAAAGCAAGCACACGCUUGAAUACAUUAGCAUGGGAUAAUGAAAUAGGACGUUUGACCCUAUUUUGUUGGUUUCUAGGAUCGACGUAAUGAUUAAUAGGGAUAGUUGGGGGCAUUAGUAUUCAAUUGUCAGAGGUGAAGUUCUUGGAUUUAUUGAAGACUAACUACUGCGAAAGCAUUUGCCAAGGAUGUUUUCAUUAAUCAAGAACGAAAGUUAGGGGAUCGAAGACGAUCAGAUACCGUCGUAGUCUUAACCAUAAACUAUGCCGACUAGGGAUCGGAUGAUGUUAAUUUUUUAAUGACUCAUUCGGCGCCUUACGGGAAAC